CACUACCAAUUCGUGUUAUGGACCUAUUGAGAACGUCCCUUCUUGCGAAAAUAUUAAACACGGAUACUGCGUUUACGAUAUUCAAUUAGGGUGUACGCUACAUCUGUUGCUACUGGUGUCCGGAGUAAUCGGAGCGACAACAAGCUUUGUUUUAUCUACCCUGGCGUGCAGUCGGCCAAAUAGAGAAACUGCAGGAAUCCGCCCGCGAUUGUCAUCUAUCUUUGUGGUGGGUGGUGACAACUUGCCAACAGGCGGAAGACCGAUAACGGCUUGGGAAUUCCCGCCUCCAACAAAAUACACUGAGCUUGCCAAUACACCAGGGAUUGAAGAACAAUAUCCAAACGAACCAACACCACCGUAUGUAGAACAAGAUAAUGCCGAUCUACAGUGUCACCUGUAAGGAGGUUCAUUAUUUGGACUGUGCUCCGCCAAAUCAACACAAGUCUAGGUCAACUUUGAUUUGUCUCUAUAGUCCUACUUACACUCGUACAUUAAAGACCAUUUGACCAUGUAUAGUUACCGUGCUGUUAAAAAUUAAAAGAUGUCAAACCUUUAAAUCACCCUCACAAUAUAAAUAUACCAUCGAAAAUUCCAAUG